rnacentral:rRNA from 1 species
CGAUAACGAACGAGACCUUAACCUACUAAAUAGUGAUGCUAGCAUUUGCUGGUUAUUCCAUUCUUAGAGGGACUAUCGAUUUCAAGUCGAUGGAAGUUUGAGGCAAUAACAGGUCUGUGAUGCCCUUAGACGUUCUGGGCCGCACGCGCGCUACACUGACGGAGCCAGCGAGUCUAACCUUGGCCGAGAGGCUUGGGUAAUCUUGUGAAACUCCGUCGUGCUGGGGAUAGAGCAUUGUAAUUAUUGCUCUUCAACGAGGAAUUCCUAGUAAGCGCAAGUCAUCAGCUUGCGUUGAUUACGUCCCUGCCCUUUGUACACACCGCCCGUCGCUAGUACCGAUUGAAUGGCU